rnacentral:rRNA from 1 species
GACGAACGCUGGCGGCGUGCUUAACACAUGCAAGUCGAACGGAAAGGCCCUGCUUUUGUGGGGUGCUCGAGUGGCGAACGGGUGAGUAACACGUGAGUAACCUGCCCUUGACUUUGGGAUAACUUCAGGAAACUGGGGCUAAUACCGGAUAGGAGCUCCUGCUGCAUGGUGGGGGUUGGAAAGUUUCGGCGGUUGGGGAUGGACUCGCGGCUUAUCAGCUUGUUGGUGGGGUAGUGGCUUACCAAGGCUUUGACGGGUAGCCGGCCUGAGAGGGUGACCGGCCACAUGGGGACUGAGAUACGGCCCAGACUCCUACGGGAGGCAGCAGUGGGGAAUAUUGCACAAUGGGCGGAAGCCUGAUGCAGCAACGCCGCGUGCGGGAUGGCGGCCUUCGGGUUGUAAACCGCUUUCGCCUGUGACGAAGCGUGAGUGACGGUAAUGGGUAAAGAAGCACCGGCUAACUACGUG